CCCACUGCCUCCAGCACCGCAGCCCCCCCCCAGGGCAACGGCUGCAGGGCCUCCACACGGGCACCUCGGGGGGUACCCAAGGGGACCCCUCUUUUCCCUGCAGGAGUUUGCAGCUGCCCGGAUUUCAGGCCCCCCACCCUCAUUGCAGCGACGUGGGGAGCCCCCCUCUCCAUAGGGUCACACCGCAGCGCUGCGUUGUGGCUGCCCACGGGGCUCAGGGCUCGGGGUGCAGCUGCUGUGCGGGGCCCUGGCUCCCCUCCAGGGCCGGAUCAUUUUCUCACCAUUCUGCCAAAUUUACGGCCGGGAAAUGAGCUCCAAUUUCCUUUUAAUAUUCGGUUGGGAGGAGAUGGUUGGGGGGAGGGGGGGGUGGGAGGCAGCGGGGGGCUCUGCGGGGUUUUGGGGGCUCCCCAGAGGGGGUCAGGGUGCCCCCCCCCCAAGGCCCCCCCCGGAUGGAUCCUGGGCAGUAUUUCAGGAGCCAUCACACGCUGCGGUUGUGUCGCUCACAGCUCACAUUGACGGCGGCGCAAAGAGGCCUCAUUAAAUCCUUCCUGUCAGACAUCAGUGGGAUCCGUCCGUUGGGGAGAUGCCGGGGCCAAACCGAAAGCCAGAGCCCGGAGAGGGAUGGCCCUGUUUGUGUCCCUGUCCCCAUAGAGAUGCAUCCCAUUGGGAUGCUCAGGGAUGUGGGUGCUGAGCUAUGGGUAUCCCUGUCCCAUAGCCGCAGCGUGGGGGUGGGGAUGGGGACACCGCGGCCCCCCGGUUUGGCUGCGGGUGAUGGUGGUGGAUGUCCUUGAGUGGUGGCCCUGUGUGUCCCCGGUCCCAGCAGAGGCGCUGUGGCUGCGGACCCCCAGUGCUGCAGUGCCAGUGGGGCGACCCUCUCCCACCCCCCACCCUGGGGGCAGCGCUGCGGACGGGGACCCACCUCAGCUGCAUGCCAAGAAGAGGGGGUCUGACCCUACGGGGGCACAGAGAUAUCACAGCCUUCAGAUCAGGUGUCCUGGGGGGCAGGAGAGGAUGGGGAGGGGGGUCCCUAUGUGAUACCGGCAUGCAGGGGGGUCCUGGGCACAGCCUACAGGAAGGGGAGGGGGGGGUGCUGGGACGGGAGGGGCCACACGUUGGGCCUGAGAGCCGCAGCAGAGGCUGCACUGAGCCACAAUGGCUUCACCCGGCCCUGCUGCCCCCUCCCUCCCAGGGGGGCCGUGGGGACCCCUCCUCAUCCUCACGGUGGGGGCAGUGAGAAGAGGGUGAGCGCACCCCAGAGGGGGCCCUCGGCUGGGACACAGAUGGGCUGUCACCUCCUGCAGCCCCCUCCCCACGUGGUUGGAGCCCCCCGGCUGGGUGGCAGCACAACCCCAUGUCAGACAGGGGUCUGUCCUGUCCUGUCCCGGCGCAUCCCCACGGGUGGCAGUGGGACCCCACUCCCCCCCGUGCCCCCGAGCAGCGCUGCUGCCUGCGAGCAACUGCAGAGGAGGGUGCAGCUAAAAAUAGAGGCGGGCGGCCGAACGGCUCCGGGUGGUGAUUUAUUUAUUACCCGCUCCCUAAUUUCUGCCUGGGAAUCACAGGGAUGGGGGUGGGGGGGGUGGGGGGAGGCAGCAAUUUGGGGCGCUGGGGCCGUCCUCACAGCCCCACUCCUGCAGCCAUCAUGUCCUGGGGGCGCCCUGCUGGGGCCAUAUGUCCCACACUGGAGAGCAUCUGCUGGUGUCAGCGGGAGCCCCCGGCCCCACACACGGCGUGGGGGGGGGCUGAGCCUGGUUUGGGGCCACGGGGCAGCAUUACAGGAGCUGACAUUGGUUCAGGGUUGUGGGGUUGGGACCUCUGAGUCGGUGGAGCCAUCAGCACAAGGAAGGCUGGGACAGUGCCACGGUGGGACCCCCCCAGCGCCAGUGCUGCUGCCCCAUAGACACCCCUCUGAGUGCAGAGCCCAGGUUUGGGAGGGUUCUGCCCCACGUGGGACCCGUGGGGAUGGCAGAAGGGGGUGAGGAUAUCCGUGGGUCCGGAGGUGCAUGGAGAAAGGCGGGCGGUUGGCACCCGUGGGGACACGCAGGGACACACAACCACCCCGGGCAGAGCUGCCAUGCGGGGAAUCCCCUGGAAUGGGGGAUGUCCUGGGGUCUCCCUGAGAGGAAGGCAGAGGGAAACCCUCCCGCAGUGAGAAGAUCUGGGGCCGGGGCUGGAUCGGGGCCUGGGAUACGGCGGGGACACGGGGACAGCAGGGACAGCACCAGCUGCGGCUUCCCCAGGGCUGGGGAGGUCCCCCCCGUCUUCCCCGAUCCAUCGGAGACCGCGUCCCCAACCCUCCCACAGCGGAUGGGCACCCAACGCUGCCACCCCGCCGUCGCCACCGCAGGGUCCCCACGGGGGUGGC
ensembl:lncRNA